rnacentral:sRNA from 1 species
UGUCAGGUUAAGUCCUAUAACGAGCGCAACCCCUGCUGUUAGUUGCUAGCGAGUCAAGUCGAGCACUCUAACGGGACUGCCGGUGCAAACCGUGAGGAAGGUGGGGAUGACGUCAAAUCAUCACGGCCCUUACAUCUUGGGCUACACACGUGCUACAAUGGCCGGUACAGAGAGCAGCCACUGCGUGAGCAGGAGCGAAUCUAUAAAGCCGGUCACAGUUCGGAUCGGAGUCUGCAACUCGACUCCGUGAAGCUGGAAUCGCUAGUAAUCGGAUAUCAGCCAUGAUCCGGUGAAUACGUUCCCGGGCCUUGUACACACCGCCCGUCAAGCCAUGGAAGCUGGGGGUACCUGAAGUCGGUUGCCGCAAGGAGCUGCCUAGGGUAAAACUAGUGACUGGGGCUAAGUCGUAACAAGGUAGCCGUACCGGAAGGUGCGGCUGGAACACCUCCUUUCUAGAGAAGUCCAAAAGGUAUUAUUUUAGGAUGAAUCUUUAAAUCUUGUGCGGUCAAUAUUCAUAGGCUAAUUAGAGGUUAGUGUUUGGUAGUUAGUAUUUUGGAGUUACAUAGACUAGUUGCUAUUUGCUAAUAGCUAGUGGCUAAAAAGAUGCAGUCUCAUAGCUCAGCUGGUUAGAGCGCUACACUGAUAAUGUAGAGGUCGGCAGUUCGAGUCUGCCUGGGACUACUGAUAGUAAUUAAGUUCAUUGAUAGAGAUAUUGAAAGGAAAUUUUAGAGGUUGAUGCUUUUAAGAUAGGUAAGAGUUUUGGGAUUGAUAUAAACUAUUCCCUAUUGCCUAACCCCUAAUACCUAUAUUUAUGGGGAAUUAGCUCAGCUGGCUAGAGCGCCUGCCUUGCACGCAGGAGGUCAAGGGUUCGACUCCCUUAUUCUCCACGAGAUGAAGGAUAAAGGAUAAAGUAAAAAAAGGAUAAAAAUAAGACUUUAUACUUUUAACUUUACACUUUAUACUUUUGAAAGAGUUCAUUGACAUAUUGGGAUAAAAACACGAGAGAUCAAAAUAAGAUUGAUUAAAUCGAGAAAAAAAUAAAAUAUAAAAGAAUCAAAGAGAACGAGGUACGCUUCUAUCGAUAGAAGCGACUACAAGCGCAAUAAGUUAUGUAAGGGCGUAUGGGGGAUGCCUAGGCUCUCAGAGGCGAAGAAGGACGUGAUAAGCUGCGAAAAGCUGCGGGGAUUGGCACAUACGAGUUGAUCCGCAGAUAUCCGAAUGGGGCAACCCACUGCAUUGAAGGUGCAGUAUCCUUUUUAUAGGAGGCGAACCCGCUGAACUGAAACAUCUAAGUAGGCGGAGGAGAAGAAAACAAAAGUGAUUCCGAGAGUAGUGGCGAGCGAAAUUGGAUUAGCCCAAACCUAUAUUGUUACGGCAAUAUAGGGGUUGUAGGACCCGAUGUUGGUUGUUAAAUAGAACUGGAAGUAUUUGGAAAGAUACACCAUAGAGUGUGAUAGUCACGUAUAGGUAAUGUUUAAUAAAUCAUAGGGAUAUCCUGAGUAGGGCGGGGCACGUGGAACCCUGUCUGAAUUUGCCGGGACCAUCCGGUAAGGCUAAAUACUCCUGAGAGACCGAUAGUGGACCAGUACCGUGAGGGAAAGGUGAAAAGAACCGUGAAUAACGGAGUGAAAUAGACCCUGAAACCAUACGCUUACAAGCGGUCGGAGCCCUUUUGGGUGACGGCGUGCCUUUUGCAUAAUGAGCCUACGAGUUACUUUUACCAGCGAGGAUAAGCAUUUCAGAUGCGAAUUCGUAGCGAAAGCGAGUCUUAAUAGGGCGAUUAAGUUGGUAGUAGUAGACGCGAAACCUGGUGAUCUACCCAUGGGCAGGUUGAAGCGCUGGUAACACAGCGUGGAGGACCGAACCGGUUGUCGUUGAAAAGACUUCGGAUGACCUGUGGGUAGGGGUGAAAGGCCAAUCAAACUGGGAAAUAGCUCGUACUCCCCGAAAUGUAUUUAGGUACAGCGUCGUGUUAUAGUUUAUUAGAGGUAGAGCUACUGAUUGGAUGCGGGGGUUUCACCGCCUACCAAUUCCUGACAAACUCCGAAUGCUAGUAAAUGAUUCACGGCAGUGAGGGCAUGGGUGCUAAGGUCCAUGUCCGAAAGGGAAAGAACCCGGACCAUCAGCUAAGGUCCCCAAAUAUAUGCUAAGUUGACCAAACGCGGUCUGACUGCACUGACAGCUAGGAUGUUGGCUUGGAAGCAGCCAUACAUUUAAAGAGUGCGUAACAGCUCACUAGUCGAGCGGUCGGGCAUGGAUAAUACUCGGGCAUAAGCAUAUUACCGAAGCUAUGGACAAUGUAAAUUGUGGUAGGGGAGCAUUCUAAUGGCAUUGAAGGUGAGCUGUGAGGUUUGCUGGAGCGAUUAGAAAAGAAAAUGUAGGCAUAAGUAACGAUAAGGCAGGCGAGAAACCUGCCCGCCGAAAGAUCAAGGUUUCCUCAGCUAUGCUAAUCAGCUGAGGGUUAGUCGGGUCCUAACGCGUAUCCGAAUUGGAGUAGUGG